AUUGCCCUAGUAACGGCGAGUGAAGCGGCAACAGCUCAAAUUUGAAAUCUGGCCUCGGCCCGAGUUGUAAUUUGUAGAGGAAGCUUUUGGCGCGGCACCUUCUGAGUCCCCUGGAACGGGGCGCCAUAGAGGGUGAGAGCCCCGUAUAGUUGGAUGCCUAGCCUCUGUAAAGCUCCUUCGACGAGUCGAGUAGUUUGGGAAUGCUGCUCAAAAUGGGAGGUAAAUUUCUUCUAAAGCUAAAUACCGGCCAGAGACCGAUAGCGCACAAGUAGAGUGAUCGAAAGAUGAAAAGCACUUUGAAAAGAGGGUUAAAUAGCACGUGAAAUUGUUGAAAGGGAAGCGCUUGUGACCAGACUUGCGCCGGGCUGAUCAUCCGGUGUUCUCACCGGUGCACUCUGCCCGGCUCAGGCCAGCAUCGGUUCUCGCGGGGGGACAAAGGCCCUGGGAACGUAGCUCCUCCGGGAGUGUUAUAGCCCAGGGCGUAAUGCCCUCGCGGGGACCGAGGUUCGCGCUCUGCAAGGAUGCUGGCGUAAUGGUCACCAGCGACCCGUCUUGAAACACGGACCAAGGAGUCAAGGUUUUGCGCGAGUGUUUGGGUGUAAAACCCGCACGCGUAAUGAAAGUGAACGUAGGUGAGAGCUUCGGCGCAUCAUCGACCGAUCCUGAUGUAUUCGGAUGGAUUUGAGUAGGAGCGUUAAGCCUUGGACCCGAAAGAUGGUGAACUAUGCUUGGAUAGGGUGAAGCCAGAGGAAACUCUGGUGGAGGCUCGCAGCGGUUCUGACGUGCAAAUCGAUCGUCAAAUCUGAGCAUGGGGGCGAAAGACUAAUCGAACCAUCUAGUAGCUGGUUACCGCCGAA
rnacentral:rRNA from 1 species